rnacentral:rRNA from 1 species
GCACGGAGUUAGCCGGUGCUUAUUCGUAUAGUACCUUCAGACCAGAUACACGUAUCUGGGUUUAUCCCUAUACAAAAGAAGUUUACAAUCCUAAGACCUUCAUCAUUCACGCGGCAUGGCUGCGUCAGGCUUUCGCCCAUUGCGCAAGAUUCCCCA